rnacentral:lncRNA from 1 species
AUGAAUACUUAUACUAGUAUCAAAUGUUUUAGAAAAACAGCUUUUGCUUACAUAAUAUUAGAGCAUCAUGUUUACAUUGUGAACUUUUAUUUAAGGCCAAAUUGUAGACAAGUAGACAUAGGAAUGGGCCUGAGGAACAAGCCAAGGGCAACACGACCAGAAAUAGGUGAUAAAUUGGUAACACCUGACCCUCAUCCAAUGGUUGUGGAAGCAGUGAAAUGUGUACUACCCAGGAAGACUGCCUUAAACUUACUUAAGGCUUGUGAAGUAACCACAAACAUCCGAAGUCCAGUCUCCAAUACGUAUGAGAGAUUAGAUAGAGUGGUGAAAAUCUGUGUCAAUCUAUGGCCUGUCCUGGCUUCAGCAAAAGAGCCUGUAGAGGAAAGCAGUAGUUCGCUGGAUGAAGAGGAACCUGGGACCAGCACAGAUACAAGGACCUUCAACACAUCAAAGUCUGGUGAGCAGCGUCCGAGAGACCAAGAAAGGAGACCCCAUGUUAGACAAGAAUUGGACAGGGCUAAAGCAAGCUGUCUAGUGAAGCCUAUUUCACUACCACCCAUAGGUAAACUAUCCCUUACAACACGACUAGCACAUUCAGAGUGCAUGGGAAUGCCAGUGCCACACACAUCUCUGCCACAGAUAUGUGUAUCAGACCAAGAUGCCUUGGUCAAAUCCUCCAAGGGGACAAAAGCCAUUGAGAAUAAGGCUCCAUUUCCCAUGAUCCUAUUGCAGAAGACCAGCACUUUGAUGGACAGCACCAUUAUCUCCCAAUGUAGGUCUGCCCAGGUUCACCUCCCUGAGAUCUCAGUGUCCAGUAUAGAAGGCCUGCUUCAGAGAGUUACAGAGCGAGUGGGAAGGAGAGAGAGAAAGAGGGAUGAGACAUCGGGACUGACCAAUCCUGAUCAUCUUCUCACGGCUGGCGCGCUGCGAAACCUGAGAGAGAAGAGGCUCCAGCAUCGGGGAGACUAUAGCUCAGAGGGAGCGGUAAGAUGUCCAGAGGUCAAGCCAAUCGGUGGACAGAAAGGGACCACUCUAGUAACAGAGAAUGGAAUGCAGAACCCUGGCUCCCUCUGCAAUAAAACCAAACUGCCUGUCAUCCUUAGUAUGACCAAAGGAAGCCUUUGA